GUAGGUGGCAAGCGUUGUCCGGAAUUAUUGGGCGUAAAGCGCGCGCAGGCGGUUCUUUAAGUCUGAUGUGAAAGCCCACGGCUCAACCGUGGAGGGUCAUUGGAAACUGGAGAACUUGAGUACAGAAGAGGAAAGCGGAAUUCCACGUGUAGCGGUGAAAUGCGUAGAGAUGUGGAGGAACGCCAGUGGCGAAGGCGGCUUUCUGGUCUGUAACUGACGCUGAGGCGCGAAAGCGUGGGGAGCAAACAGGGAUUAGAUACCCUGGUAGUCCACGCCGUAAACGAUGAGUGCUAAGUGUUAGGGGGUUUCCCGCCCCUUAGUGCUGCAGCUAACGCAUUAAGCACUCCGCCUGGGGGAGUACGGCCGCAAGGCUG
rnacentral:rRNA from 1 species